rnacentral:rRNA from 1 species
AUGACCAUGCUCAUGAGCAUGCAAGAGGAAAUGGACCGGCAGGUGGAGCAUAAUCUCAACUUCAAGGGCUCGGUCAAAGAGAGAAGAGUGAUCAAUCGGGGUAGGGUGUCCGGAGCACGGCUAUUGCAGAAGGACUACUUUGGUCCGAACCAAACUUUCCCGGAUGAUCCAUGGUUUCGUUGUCGUUUUGACAUGCGGAAGCCAUUGUUUUUGCGCAUUGUGGAGGGAGUGGAGGCAGAAAUGACUACUUCAAGCUCACAUGGGCUUGUUGUGGCGAAUUAUCUUUCUGUGCUAAGCAAAAAUGCACGGUUUUUUUGA